AGGAGCCGUGUGCGUAAAUAGCGCAAGCACGGUUCUGAGAGGGGCCGGUGACAAUAGAAGGGACAGAACGAAAUAGCAGCCACGUAUUAGCCGCGUGCGGCAAGGCGUCAACGAAAGACUCGCUAUGGAUGUGCUGUUUUAAUUAAAGAAACCGGUCUACUCGAC
rfam:Desulfobulbaceae bacterium BRH_c16a BRHa_1006764, whole genome shotgun sequence.